CGGGGUGUGGCCUAAUGGCAAGGCGCCAGCUUCGGGUGCUGGAGAUUGCGGGUUCGAAUCCCGCCGCCCCGA
rnacentral:tRNA from 1 species